rnacentral:rRNA from 3 species
CAACUUUUAACAACGGAUCUCUUGGUUCUCGCAUCGAUGAAGAACGUAGCAAAGUGCGAUAACUAGUGUGAAUUGCAUAUUCAGUGAAUCAUCGAGUCUUUGAACGCAUCUUGCGCUCAAUGGUAUUCCAUUGAGCACGCCUGUUUCAGUAUCA